CGUGUAGGCGGUCUCUUAAGUCUGAUGUGAAAGCCCUGGGCUCAACCCAGGAAGUGCAUUGGAUACUGGGAGACUUGAAUACGGGAGAGGGUAGUGGAAUUCCUAGUGUAGGAGUGAAAUCCGUAGAUAUUAGGAGGAACACCGGUGGCGAAGGCGGCUACCUGGACCGAUAUUGACGCUGAGACGCGAAAGCGUGGGGGGCAAACAGGAUUAGAUACCCUGGUAGUCCACGCCGUAAACGAUGAGAACUAGGUGUUGCGGGUAUUGACCCCUGCAGUGCCGCAGCUAACGCAUUAAGUUCUCCGCCUGGGAAGUACGGUCGCAAGACUAAA
rnacentral:rRNA from 1 species